ensembl:lncRNA
AGGUAGUUACAGUGUGAAAGAUGAGAGAGAGAGAGGGAGGGGUGAAGAAUUGUGAGGUAGGAGAGAGAGAGAGACAGAGAGAGCGAAUCAGUGCUACCUUCAGGGAGCGGCAGAGAGAGAGAGAGAGAGCAAGCUGCUGUAUCACUGAGUGACAGACGAGCGGGUGAUCGAGCGCUGGUGUGACCGCCAGCGGACGAGUGUGAAGAAAAGAGAGAGAGAGAGAGAGAGGGGCGAGGCUGCUGCUGCUGCUGCCGCCGCUAUGCAUGCGGUAACCAUGGCGCAGCCGUCUCCGAGCGCAUCGCCGGGCGCCCGUCGCCGUAGCGAUGGCUCGGUGAGAGAGUGUCUGUUCUUCCCUGUCUCCGAACGCAACGAGAAGGAGAGGCUGGAGGCCCUGGUCCGCCGGAGAGGUGGGGGCGCCGAGACGAGAGGAGGAGGAGGAGGAGGAGGAGGAGGAGGAGGAGGAGGAGGAGGGGAGGCUCGGGACCACCUGGAUAACCGGCCCAAACGUUGGACUUGGGGAGGACCGCCUGACGGAGUGGAGGGUAACCCUAAGACCCCGUCCCGCCCCGCCAUUGGCUCCGCUCAGCCCAAUGAGCUUCCCGCCGCUCCCAGUGCCAGCCAAUCCCGUCACGGUACAGACCCACAUGACUCUCUCUCUUGUGUGUUACGCUCAUACACGCCCCUCCUCCUCCUCCCUGCCACCGCCUUUCCUGCUCGUCGCAUGUCUGCAUGUCUGUGGACUGUGGCUGUGACAUCGCUGUGUGUUCAGUGACGUGUGUGUGUGGGCACAGUGUCUGUCGGGGAAGUGAAUGACAGUAAACGCCUACAACAUGUUGCAUCGUCGAUGAACCUACUGUACAGGGGACACUGCGCUCGAUAUUCAGAAUUCAGAUUAGAGCCGGACCAUUAAUAUCUGCCAACUGAUAUGAGCCUUUAAAUGUGCAUAUAUGUUUUUACAUUUUAGGUAAAAUAAAUUUUUCAUUUCUUAAUUCAAAUCCUAUUUAUUUGGUUGUAUUUGUCUUUUUCUUAAAUUUAAUAUAUAUAUAUAUAUAUAUAUAUUUCGGCUGAUGUAUCGGUAUUGUAAAUCUCGUACUCCCUAAUAUCGAUAUCUGCAUCUACCCCCAAACGAUCCAUAUCGGUCGGGCUCUAGUUCAAAUACACAGAUUAUUUAUAUUUUUUGUUGAUUAGUUGUUUCUUAGGGAGAAAUGCAGGUUCCUGUUUCCAAGGCUUCUUAUUUCCUGCGCUGUCUGCUCAAGUGAAUGUCACGUUCACGUAAUAUGUCACAUGCCGCAAUCUUGGCAAAAAUCCGCCCCUUGCAUGUGAAGAGGUGGUUGCAGAUUUGCAGAAGCAGGAAUAUGUUUCUGAAAGAAUCCAGAAUGCUGUGAAUCAAAACCGUGGUGUGAGUCAUUGAAGAUCAUUUAAGAAAUUCAAGCCUGAACCUCUGCCACACAUCCGGCAGAUUAACGCGACACUGUCGUCCGCUCACCUGCUCUUACUGGUGAGCUGCUGCAGCCAAUCAGACUCUACCAGUGUGACCUUGUUUGAUAAAUCCCAUAGGUCAAUACAAUGCACAGACACUCCCACAGAGACUAAAAUCCCAUGUAAUAGCGAUAAACAGAGAGAAAAUUAAAAAGUCCAGCAUUAUAUAUUAAUAUGUUUUUAAAGACAAACAAACACGUCUGAAUGUCUUUUCUGUGUGUAAAUGUGGUUUUGAAUCCAUUUUCAUAGACAGAACAGAUUAACACUUGUUCUCCUUUGUGGCUAAUCAUCAGUGUUUGGUUUGGACACACACACACAAACACACGCACACACACACACACACACACACACUCCCCAACCCCCAACCUUAUCAUACAAAGGGCGGCUCCACUUCCUGUCUUCUUGUGCCCAGAGCUGUGUUUAGCCAUGCGUACACAUUAUUCCCAGCAGGGAGUAUAAAACGCCCAGGUCUCUCCACACACACACACACACACACACACACACACACACACACACACACACACACACACGAACACACACACCAUACAUCAUACCAGACAUACACCCUGUAGAUGUCUGUGACAUCUACUAGACCCAAACUACACACCAGUAGCAAUCAGAUCAAAACACACUCUCACACACACACACACACACACACACACACACACGCACACAAAUCAUUUACAGCAAAAAAAAACUGGGAAAAACAGAGAAACAAUAAUAAUAAUAUAAAUAAUUAGACAACAAGGAAUGAACAUUAUAAAAAUUAUUUAAAAAAAAAAAUUCCAAGGCUCAAAUACAAAAAUUAUGAUAAAUUGAAACAUAGAUUUUCAUUGAUAUGAUGUAUUGAAGCUCAUGUGAAAAACUAUCAUUUAUUAUUUCAUCUUUUUUCCCAUCUCACUGUAAUGAUAAUCAGGGGGGAUGUUUCAGUGGAAGAACGUGGCUGGAAAUCUGAUUUAUAAUUAGAUUUUUUAAAUCCAAAUUAAAAUAUGAUAAAGAUUAAUAUAUCAUAUAAUUUUUAAAAAGAGAGAUAUAUAAAUAUAUCUAGAUAUGUAAGCAUUUUUUAAAAAAAAUUAAAAACUACAAACCGUUGAAUCAAACUCUCAGUGUUCAUGAAAACACAGCGGCCGGCGUCUCUUCUCUCCCUCUCCCCGGAUACUGCUGCUGCUGCUGCUGAUGAUGAUGAUGAUGAUGAUGAUGUCGUCACGCUGCCUUCAGGUGCUGCAUCAUCUUCAUCACCACAUAUCUGCCUCUGCCCUCUGCUCUGCCGCUUCACGUCUGUCUUACAUCACUGAGGUUAAUCCUUUCAGCCACUCGUCGAUCGGCAGGAUUGUUUCCUGUGUGUGUGUGUGUGUGUGUGUGUUUGUGUGUGUGUGUGUUUGUGCACGCGCUCGCCGGCAGUUUUGUGUUUGAUCGUGUGGCGGUUUGUCUGUCGUGGGAUCAGGACGUUUUUGUUCAACGUAUUUCUCACAUUUUCCAUCAUCAGUCUGCGAUUUACAUUCGUGUACAGUUUGUGUCUGUUGAUUUGUUUGU